CAGCACAUCAUCCUGACACUGAGGUAAUCAGGACCAUCAACACCUCUGGAUACGGCCGUGAUAAUGAGCCCGCGGAGCAAAAAACAGAGGACUAGUGAAACAUUAACCAGACAGAGGAGGAGGGACAAGGAUGAAAUAAGCCUGGAGGGAUGAUGCUGUUGUUGUCUAGCAAUGGGAUGAUUGUUCCUGAGCCUGUAAAGUGCUGCCCGGGGUCAGCUGAGGGGUCGCAGUGGACCAUCAACUGGCUUCAUUUUCUCGAUGAGAGAGCCUCAUUAUACUGAUAUACGCGACCAUAUUAGACAAUUAUAUGACUUUCAGACGUAGGGGCCAUGACUAAAGCAAAGCAUGUGAUCGAUUUCUGAACGAACGAGGAACCCUCGCAGCACCUGGGUUUACGAGAAAAAGGGUAUCUAGCCGUUAUAACUGUGUGAACAGAUCGUUGGCGUGUAUGAGGUUGAAUUUAUGGAAAGCUGUGAAAAUUGCCCACAUGGUGUUUAUCUCACGACCUCCCAGGAAGUGCUAUUCAUAUAAAACUGAAUCACAUUCACCGGCUUUGGCCAAUGACAGAUAGCUUUACAUCAUUCC
ensembl:lncRNA